rnacentral:tRNA from 1 species
GCGCAUGUGGCGGAAUGGUAGACGCGCCAGCUUGAGGGGCUGGUGGGGCAGAUGCCCCGUGGAAGUUCGAGUCUUCUCGUGCGCA